AAUGAACGCUGGCGGCAGGCCUAACACAUGCAAGUCGAGCGAGGACUUCGGUUCUAGCGGCGGACGGGUGAGUAACGCGUGGGAAUGUGCCCUUCUCUACGGAAUAGCCCUGGGAAACUGGGAGUAAUACCGUAUACGCCCUAUUGGGGAAAGAUUUAUCGGAGAAGGAUCAGCCCGCGUUGGAUUAGGUAGUUGGUGGGGUAAUGGCCUACCAAGCCGACGAUCCAUAGCUGGUUUGAGAGGAUGAUCAGCCACACUGGGACUGAGACACGGCCCAGACUCCUACGGGAGGCAGCAGUGGGGAAUCUUAGACAAUGGGGGCAACCCUGAUCUAGCCAUGCCGCGUGAGUGAUGAAGGCCUUAGGGUUGUAAAGCUCUUUCAGCUGGGAAGAUAAUGACGGUACCAGCAGAAGAAGCCCCGGCUAACUCCGUG
rnacentral:rRNA from 1 species